rnacentral:lncRNA from 1 species
CUCAUGGUGAGUGGCUGGGAUGAGGGCGGCGCUCACGGUGAGGAAGCCCGGAGCUCCCGGGACGCAGACAGGGUGUGCAGGGCCGUAGCUCGGGCUUGUGUAUGCGCGUGUGCGUGUGUGAGUGUUUCACGCCGGGACAAGGCGGCGGUGUGCGCGGCGAGAAGGCUGCGACAGCCGUAUAGACCCCAGCUGCAGUGAAAUGGCCACCAAAAAGGGAAGGGAUAAUCGAGUGGUGGAAUAAAAUCUGCAAACAGAAAAAGCACAGACCUGUUUUCGGAACGAGGCUUUUCGAGUUGUAAGUGUCCCUUAGGCAGAGUUCUGGGAAGACGUGAUGGGGAGAACCUAGGAGUAGGAUUCCUUCCUCAGAGGCUCUCCUUUGGGAACUCUCAGAGGUCAGUUUCCAUGUGAUCCACAUCAUUCCCAGAGCUGUCUCCCCAGGAGACUUAUGUGAAUUUAGAGAAAGUCCCCAGUCCUGGGUAUCAGUGACCGUGGCCUUUCCCUUGAAUACUAAGAAGGGUUAGCAGUACUCCCAUCUCCCUUUUACUUCCAUCUG